rfam:Enterococcus durans ATCC 6056 genomic scaffold acyDB-supercont2.4, whole genome shotgun sequence.
AUUUCCUUUAAGUUUAGUCCCGUGAGGCUAAGAAGGGUGUGAGCAAAGCGACAUAUGGUGCGCCAUAUCGAACGUUGCUCUCUAGCAGAGUAUAACUAUAAGUGUACCCAAAGUAUACGCUCAGUCUAAAACAUUCCUCCUGUCCUCUUAGGGCAGGAGUUUUUUUGU